rnacentral:rRNA from 1 species
AAUAGAUACCCGGGUAGUCCACGCCGUAAACGAUGGAUGCUAGCUGUUAUGAGUAUCGACCCUUGUAGUAGCGAAGCUAACGCGUUAAGCAUCCCGCCUGUGGAGUACGAGCGCAAGCUUAAAACAUAAAGGGAAUUGACGGGGACCCGCACAAGCGGUGGAGCGUGUUGUUUAAUUCGAUGAUAAGCGAAGAACCUUACCAAGGCUUGACAUCCCUGGAAUUUCUCCGAAAGGAGAGAGUGCCUUCGGGAAUCAGGUGACAGGUGAUGCAUGGCCGUCGUCAGCUCGUGUCGUGAGAUGUUUGGUUAAGUCCAUCAACGAGCGCAACCCUUGUAAAUAGUUGAAUUUUUCUAUUUAGACUGCCUCGGUAACGGGGAGGAAGGAGGGGAUGAUGUCAGGUCAGUAUUUCCCUUACGCCUUGGGCUACAAACACGCUACAAUGGCCGGUACAAAGGGCAGCCAACCCGCGAGGGGGAGCAAAUCCCAUCAAAACCGGUCUCAGUUCGGAUAGCAGGCUGAAAUUCGCCUGCUUGAAGCCGGAAUCG